rnacentral:ncRNA from 1 species
AAACAGGGGAGCUUGUGUACGCAGGCUGAGAGGAAGUACUCGAACUUCGACCCUUUAACCUGAUGCGGGUAAUGCCGCCGUAGGGAGUCA